UCACUUGUCACAGGACGGGGAGGCGGGGAAGCUCCUCUGCGUUUCAAGCGGCCUCCUGGCGGAAGCUGGAUUAGUCAUGCCCUCCUCUAACCUCACACGGCACCUGCCCGGGUCUCCGGGAGCCCCUGGCACAGGCCCCGCCCUCGCGACGCGGGACACUGGCGCUUCUAAGGACAGGGACCUCUCAAGAGGCAAUCGGUGUAUUCAUCGUACAGAUGGAGAAGCUCAACUUAGAGCAGUUAAGCAGCUUGCCCAACGUCCUGCAGGAAGAGGGUUUAACUCUGCAACACAAUCAAUGCACUGAAGCCCAAAUUGGAAAUCUCUUUAGCUACAAACAAGACAGUUCAGAAGGGAAAUGUCACAGGAAAACUGGGCAUUUCUUUCCAUAUACUUAGUGGAAGCAACACCUGGAUUUCAGUCGCGUAGCUGAUGUUUUUAAUAAUUGACAUUCGGACUUCUGCAUCCACAUGCUCCCUUCUGGUGGAUUAAGAGUUUAUGUGUUGUUCCUCAUCCAUCUUGUGACCCUUGGGCAAAGUCCCUGACCUAUCAGACGUUCAAUUUCUUCAUCUGUGGAAAGGUGAUCAUGAGAAAGCACAUACUAUGAGGUGGUUUUGGUGGAGGGGAUUAAAUUAGAUACAAUUUAGAAAUUCUUAGUAUGAUAUUUGGAACAUAAUGUAUGUCUUAUAAAUAGGAUCAAAAUUUUCUUUCCUUUUUUUUUUUUUUUUACAGAACUGUGAAGAGCAAAAAUUUCUUACCAUCAAAGCUUUCUGGCAAAAGGGUCUGAAGCUCACCUAGCAGUGUAGGGAAGAGAGGUUUUGUCCACCUGGCUUCAGCCCCUUGUUCUGCCACCUCUGGGAUGUGGAA